GGAGACGUCUGUAUUAGCCCGGACACCCCCGAUCUCGACUGAUCUUGGAAGCUAAGCACGGUCAGACCUGGUGAAUCCUUGGAGGGAGACCACCUGGGAAUACUAGGCGCUGUAGCCU